UUAGUGUUUGAAGACAUAUACUGGACAUAAGAAUGAAAAGUAUUGUGUGUUUGCCAAUUUUUCUGUGACUGGAGGAAAGUGGAUCGUCUCAGGCUCUGAAGACAACAUGGUGUAUAUCUGGAAUUUGCAGACCAAAGAAAUUGUUCAGAAAUUGCAAGGGCACACAGAUGUAGUGAUCUAG